GACGAACGCUGGCGGCGUGCUUAACACAUGCAAGUCGAACGGUGAUGCUCCAGCUUGCUGGAGUGGAUCAGUGGCGAACGGGUGAGUAACACGUGAGCAACCUGCCCCAGACUCUGGAAUAAGCGCUGGAAACGGCGUCUAAUACUGGAUACGAAACUGGCCCGCAUGGGCAUGGUUUGGAAAGUUUUUCGGUUUGGGAUGGGCUCGCGGCCUAUCAGCUUGUUGGUGAGGUAAUGGCUCACCAAGGCGACGACGGGUAGCCGGCCUGAGAGGGCGACCGGCCACACUGGGACUGAGACACGGCCCAGACUCCUACGGGAGGCAGCAGUGGGGAAUAUUGCACAAUGGGCGGAAGCCUGAUGCAGCGACGCCGCGUGAGGGAUGACGGCCUUCGGGUUGUAAACCGCUUUCAGCAGGGAAGAAGCGAAAGUGACGGUACCUGCAGAAGAAGCACCGGCUAACUACGUG
rnacentral:rRNA from 1 species